AAAUGCCCCAGAUGAUAGUGAAAAGCCUUUUUAGGAGAAACUGUAUUUUUCUUGGACUUAAAAAGCGACCAAAGGAAGCUCUUUUAAGGACUUAGAAAAAAAAGUUUCGAGAAAAAGCUUGUAACGACAGCUGGAUUAAGG
rnacentral:sRNA from 1 species